CCCGGGAAAAAACAAGAAACCCAUUCCAUCCUCCUUUCCAGGCCUUCGCCCGCCCGAGACCCGCCGUCUCCCGGAGUUCUCGGGGAUAACGGGCUCAGCUGCGAAGUUCUUCCUUGAGCAUCUGAAUUUGGUUGUGGUCAGAUGGUGGAUAAAGCUGGACUUAUCUGAAUCUUCUUUCGUCACAUGUCUGGAGUGUCUGGAGUGGCUGGAAAACAGCUUCCUCACAAGUUGGCCAAGUGGCUGGAAGUCCACCUACAAUGGGCAUGCCGUCCUGGAACAUCUCUCUUCUCUAUCUUGGAUUCGGUUCUAUGUCCCCCUAUGUUAUUGGGGACAGAAUUGUGCCCAGACAAGAAAAUGAUGUUUCCCAGCCUCCCCUGCAGCUGAGUGGGGACAACCAUUGAGAUGCCGUUGCAGGGCUCCGCUUUGGAGCGGGCAUUGGAGGAAUUCUUUGACCACCAAGCAGCCUCCAUACCUCCCUCCUACAUAACAGAGCCACCGAGAGGCUGUUUGCAUUCUGCCUGCUUUCUCUUUUUCCGUUGCAGUAGUUUAUUAAUUAGUGUGCAAAAAAUAAAAAGGAGGUAAUAACCUUAUUUAUGUGCUAGUCCACGUGUUCAGUGUGCUCAUUUUUUCUGCAGCCUGGCAUCGGGAACCGGAACGUUUGGCCCCAGGAGAGGGGGCCGGGACCCUGGGUGCCAGAAUCUUACAGUGCGGAGGCGACAGGCCAACGCAGUUCCUUCCUUUUCCU
rnacentral:lncRNA from 1 species